AGCGUGGAGACAGGUGGUGCAUGGCUGUCGUCAGCUCGUGUCGUGAGAUGUUGGGUUAAGUCCCGCAACGAGCGCAACCCUCACCCCUUGUUGCCACCAGGUCAGGCUGGGCACUCUAGGGGAACUGCCCCGGUCAACGGGGAGGAGGGUGGGGAUGACGUCAAGUCAUCAUGCCCCUUACGUCCUGGGCUACACACGUGCUACAAUGGCCGGUACAAAGGGAUGCAAGACUGCGAGGUGGAGCUAAACCCAAAAAGCCGGCCUAAGUUCAGAUUGGAGUCUGCAACUCGACUCCAUGAAGGAGGAAUCGCUAGUAAUCGCGCAUCAGCACGGCGCGGUGAAUACGUUCCCGGGCCUUGUACACACCGCCCGUCACACCACGAAAGCCAGCUGUACUCGAAGUCGCUGAG
rnacentral:rRNA from 1 species